UUGUGAGGAGGACGCCGAAGGUGGGGCUGAUGACUGGGGUGAAGUCGUAACCAAGGUAGCCGUACCGGAGGUGCGGCUGGAUCACCUCCUACAGGGAGACAAACAAAUCGAUCGUGAUGUCUAAGUUUUGAUUCUUAGGCCAUGAUCCUGUCACCUUAGGUCGAUCGGUACCUCAAUUAAAUUUCAAAAUUAUUUGAAAUUUGAAUCAGUUCCUAAACUUGUCUAGGUCACACCCAACAAGGGUACUCCUGGGCCAUUAGCUCAGGUGGUUAGAGCGCACCCCUGAUAAGGGUGAGGUCCCUGGUUCAAGUCCAGGAUGGCCCAUUCGGUGUUGGGGGUAUAGCUCAGUUGGUAGAGCGCCUGCUUUGCAAGCAGGAUGUCAGCGGUUCGAGUCCGCUUACCUCCACUGAUCGAUCUCCUGAUAACGAAGGCAAUGAGAAUCCUUUCUUGUGACUUAGACUAAAAGCUCGUCUAAUUGAACCUAGCUUCCUAUCAUUCCAAACUAUUUAGCUUGACUAAAUAGAAGAGGUUGACAGGACGCUGGGCUCACUACAUUUUUAAAUGUAGAGAGAGUUCAGUAGAACCUUGAAAACUGCAUAGUGAGUCUGGAAAGAAUAAAGCAUCUCAUGGAUGUAUUGAGCUUUCUUUAUUUUUGUAAUUAACUAAGUUAAUCUCUAUAAAUAAAGAAAGCUUAAUGAAAAUUCUUGAGCAAAUUUGAGACUCUAUAAAAGGGAAUUUAUUCUUUAUUUAUAGAGAUUAAUGGUCAAGCUACAA
rnacentral:misc_RNA from 1 species